rnacentral:rRNA from 1 species
AGCGAACGCUGGCGGCAUGCUUAACACAUGCAAGUCGCACGGGCAGUAAUGUCAGUGGCGGACGGGUGAGUAACGCGUAGGAACGUGUCUAGAGGUGGGGGACAACCCUGGGAAACUGGGGCUAAUACCGCAUAUGGGCUGAGGCCCAAAGCAGUGAUGCGCCUUUGGAGCGGCCUGCGUCCGAUUAGGUAGUUGGUGGGUAAGGCCUACCAAGCCUGCGAUCGGUAGCUGGUCUGAGAGGACGAUCAGCCACACUGGGACUGAGACACGGCCCAGACGUCCUACGGGAGGCAGCAGUGGGGAAUAUUGGACAAUGGGCGCAAGCCUGAUCCAGCAAUGCCGCGUGUGUGAAGAAGGUCUUCGGGAUCGUAAAGCACUUUCGACAGGGACGAUGAUGACGGUACCUGUAGAGAAGCCCCGGCUAACUUCGUG